CUCAAAAAACACCACCGUGGAUUCCACCGGCGUCACUGUGAAUACUUUCUCGAUAGUCACGGUUCGAUGCUCUUUUCAGGUGGUCAAUGGCUUCCUUUAUUGGGAGUUCAUUGGGUUUAUCGGAUUCACGGUAGAUUGAUGUUUUAUUAAAGAUGUAUCUCCAGCUAUUGAUAAAGAGGACGGAGCCUUUUUCUUCGGACUCGAUCUAAAAAAUCUGAUAUAGUUGGUCAUAAUUCUUUCAACAUUU
rnacentral:snoRNA from 1 species